AUUGAACGCUGGCGGUAGGCCUAACACAUGCAAGUCGAACGGCAGCACAGUAAGAGCUUGCUCUUACGGGUGGCGAGUGGCGGACGGGUGAUGAAUACAUCGGAAUCUACUUUUUCGUGGGGGAUAACGUAGGGAAACUUACGCUAAUACCGCAUACGACCUACGGGUGAAAGCAUGGGAUCUUCGGACCUUGCGCGAUUGAAUGAGCCGAUGUCGGAUUAGCUAGUUGGCGGGGUAAAGGCCCACCAAGGCGACGAUCCGUAGCUGGUCUGAGAGGAUGAUCAGCCACACUGGAACUGAGACACGGUCCAGACUCCUACGGGAGGCAGCAGUGGGGAAUAUUGGACAAUGGGCGCAAGCCUGAUCCAGCCAUACCGCGUGGGUGAAGAAGGCCUUCGGGUUGUAAAGCCCUUUUGUUGGGAAAGAAAAGCAGCAGGUUAAUACCCCGCUGUUCUGACGGUACCCAAAGAAUAAGCACCGGCUAACUUCGUG
rnacentral:rRNA from 1 species